ensembl:lncRNA
CUGUGUAGGACCUGGGUGAACUCCUGCAGGACUAGGACCUGGCCUGUGUAGGACCUGGGUGAACUCCUGCAGAGCCUGUGUAGGACCUGGGUGAACUCCUGCAGAGCCUGUGUAGGACCUGGGUGAACUCCUGCAGGACCUGUGUAGGACCUGGGUGAACUCCUGCAGAGCCUGUGUAGGACGCUUCAACCGAUGUCCAAAUUUACACACUACUUAGAACGUACAUUUUUAUUGGGCAUACAUUCUAAGUGGUAUGCUAUAGUGACAUUAAAGGAUACUGGAACAGAGACCCCUAUUCAUUAGGCAGCAAAUGGUAGAAAAUGGACUGAAACAGGGAGGGACUACCUGGUCUUGUCCAAUAAGAAACGCUGAGGUCUGCAGACCUAUAUAAAAGCCAUCAAUCAGAAUCAUACCUGUGAAAAUAUGACAUGACCCCAGAAUAAAAAGAAACCAGAACAGACAACAGCUCAAUGACACAUUUUCCAUGUCUCAGUUCGGGACAGCUGAUGUCUCAGUGUUACGUUUAAACCAAAUCUACUUGUGCCUCCGUUUGAUUGAACAAAACAAAGGAAUUCUAUCAAGUAAAUGAUUUGUUAUUGAUCCACAUCUUGAGCCACAUAAUGAUCACAAUCCCUUUCUGGGCCUAUAUCACAAAGAGCCUCUAGGAUCAGUUUGGCUUUUAAAUCAUAAUGCACAAGGUUUAUAUGGACAGGGAGGACCUGAUCCUAGAUCUCCUACUCGGAUGCACUUGUUGAAUAUGCGCCUUGGGGCUGUAUCCACAAAGCAUCUCAGAGUAAAACAUUUGGUCGUAGGUGCUAAGAGACAUUUCACUCCUACUCUUAUGGGUAACAAUAAAAGCUAUGCAGGAAGCUUAUUUAGUCAUAACAGUCCCCCACCUAGUCAAGAGAUAUUUAGGAGACCCCAUGAGCUGUCCUAACAAGCUUAGAGUUACCAACAGAUGUCUUGGUCGUAGAAAAGGGCAGUGCUUCCUGCACCAUAGACAGGCUGUUGCUUUGGAGUUGAAAGAAUGUUUGAUAUUUCUAUACGAUCAACCCAUAAUAAUGUACACCUUGUACUUUGGAGAAUGAUUUCCUUAAUACUUACAAGCACUAGGCUAAUAAACCAUCACACAGUUCUCUUUCAAUUAUUUCAUGAACCUACAUGUCAUUUAAAGUUAUCCCUUUGGAGCGCAAUAUCACGUUAAAACUAGCCGUGUCUAUGUGUUGGGUAAAACUAGCCGUGUCUAUGUGUUGGGUAAAACUAGCCGUGUCUAAGUGUUGGGUAAAACUAGCCGUGUCUAUGUGUUGGGUAAAACUAGCCGUGUCUAAGUGUUGGGUAAAACUAGCCGUGUCUAUGUGUUGGGUAAAACUAGCCGUGUCUAAGUGUUGGGUAAAACUAGCCGUGUCUAAAACUAGCCGUGUCUAUGUGUUGGGUAAAACUAGCCGUGUCUAUGUGUUGGGUAAAACUAGCCGUGUCUAUGUGUUGGGUAAAACUAGCCG